GGAAGGACAAACUAGUUCUGUUGUAAAGCCUAAUCGGUAUAGUCGAUGGUUCACUUUGUUUCGCUGGGUUUCACAAAGCUUCUUCCCCGCAGCCAGCUCAGUCUCGCCAAUCUCGGUGUUCUUCCUUUUGACGUAUAAUAAAGGAGAGACAGCCCACACACUUACAAAGAUUGGCCAACAGAUAUUUGGAGCCAUUUAAAUAGCCAAGGACGUUUCUCUCUACAUUUACUCGAAAAUACUGAGGUCAAUUUCAACUUUAACUUUUCCUCUAGAUUUAGAAUAUGUGGCUUGAUCAGAGGGGCAACUGCUACUCGUAUUCCAGUAACCAAUCCAGCAACAAUCUGCCAAUUGAAUAGCUGCCACGGGAGCUGGUGAUUCAAAAUCCAAACAGGAACAAUGGUUGUUUCUUCUUCAGCUUUAAAAUCAGGAGUCCAUUUAAGAACUUGCAUUGAUGAAUCUCCAAUAUCGAUUUACUCUUUAGUGAACACAUGACUAUAAUUGGCUUCAUUAUCUAGAUCGAAAUAAGCAAUUUUAACAGUCCCAGAAAGAUGAAACUUACUAACAAAGGUCUUAUGGAUUUCCUCCAUGCUGGGCUUCCCGCGACAAAACUUACCGAUUAUAGCGAGUCUGCAUUGUUUAGCAAGAUUGAUGAAAUAAUCUUCAGCUCUGAAGAACACUGCAGGUUUGCCAAGGGGUUAUUCCGAAGUAAGAUUGGGUCAAUAAAAUCGUUAUUUGUAUCCAGAAUGAGGAGAAGAUUCCCUAUUUUCAGUAUUGGUCGUUUAUAUUGUACAGGGAAUGCAGAGGCGGCGCCUCAAUUGUCAAUUGACCUCAUUAAAAUAAUGGACCAAAGGUUAUCAGCAAUUGAGAACAGGAAUGCUCACCUUGAGCGUUUUUUAGAUCAGCCUGAAUUGACACCUUCUGAAUAUUCAACGGCCAACAAAGAGCUCAGGAAGCUCAGAGAUUCAGUACAUCUCAUAAGCGAGUUAAGGGCAAAACAGCAGGAGAUUAAGGAACUGAAAUCAGUAAUAUCUGAUUGUCAAGAUGACAAAGACAUGCAACAGAUGGCUUCUGAAGAAUUAAGUGAAGCCACAGAAGGAGAGAAGAAAUUUCAGUUUCUCCUUCUGAAGUCAUUACUACCCAAAGAUGAUGCUGAUGAGAGGGACUGCAUUCUUGAAGUGAGGGCAGGAACUGGAGGGGAAGAGGCUUCCUUAUUUGCGAUGGACAUAUUCAAAAUGUAUGAAAAAUACUCUGUGAAAAAAGGCUGGAAGUAUGAGGUUCUAGAAACAGCUGAGUCUGAUCUUAAAGGAUACAAGGAAGCUAUUGCUUCUAUCUCUGGAGCUGGUGUGUACGGGAAACUAAAAUUUGAGAGUGGAAUACACAGAGUUCAGCGGGUGCCCGUGACAGAGAAAGGUGGACGUGUUCACACCAGUGCUGUCUCUGUUGCAAUUCUCCCGCAGGCAGAUCAGGACCGUAGUACGGGACAGACGAUUGGAAUAGGAUAUGAAUCACAAGGCCUUUACUAUCUUACCUCUUCUAAUUCUUUAAUAGCAUGCUCUGUUACAGAUUCCCUAGAUGUAAUUCACAAACGUUUGGGACACCCAAGUUUAUCCAAACUGCAAAAGAUGGUGCCUAGUUUGUCUGGUUUAUCCACAUUAGAUUGUGAGUCGUGUCAACUUGGGAAACACACUCGUGCUACAUUUUCUCGUAGUACUGAGGGUCGUUCAGAGUCUAUUUUUUCGUUUCUUCAUUCUGAUAUUUUGGGUCCUAGUAGAGUCAGUUCCCCCUUAGGAUUUCGUUAUUUUGUUAGUUUCAUUGAUGAUUAUUUCAGAUGCACUUGGGUUUUCUUAAUGAAAGAUCGUUCUGAGUUAUUUUCUAUUUUCAAAGGUUUCUUUGCUGAAAUACAAAAUCAGUUUGGUGUUUCUAUUCGUACUUUCCAUAGUGAUAAUGCCUUAGAAUACUUAUCAUCCCAAUUUCAGGAAUUUAUGUCUCACCACGGAAUCAUUCACCAAAAAUCUUGUCCAUACACCUCAAUAAAAUGGUGUCGCAGAAAGAAAGAAUAGGAAUCUCAUAGAGGCUGCUCGCACUCUUCUCAAUUGAAUCCCAUGUUCCGCUGUGUUCUUGGGGUGAUGCAGUCCUUUCCGCUUGUUAUUUAAUUAACAGAAUGCCCUCUUCUUCUAUUCAAAAUCAGGUUCCACAUUCCAUAUCGUUUCCUCAGUCACAUCUCUAUCCUAUCCCCCCUCGUGUCUUUGGGAGCACAUGCUUUGUUCAUAAUUUAGCCCUAGGAAAAGAUAUAUUAGCUCCUCGUGCCCUCAAAUGUGUCUUUCUUGGUUACUCUAGAGUUCAAAAAUGGUAUCGUUGUUAUCCACAUGAUCUUCAUCGAUACCUUAUGUCCGCUGAUGUUACAUUUUUUGAGUCUCAGCCUUGUUAUACAUCUUCUGAUCAUACUAAUGUCUCUAUGGUCAUACCCAUACCUCAAGUCUUACCUGUGCCAACCUUUGAGGGAUCUAUAGUUACGUCUACAUCUCCAGUUGCAGCGCCACCACUACUAACUUAUCAUCGCCGUCCACGUCCAACCCUAGUCCCAGAUGAUUCAUGUCAUGCGCCAGACCCUGCUCCUACUGCGGACUUGCCUCGACCUAUCCCACCGCUUGCUCUUCAAAAAGACUAUAGGUGAAUCACUUUCUCAUUCUGGAUGGAGGCAGGCUAUGGUUGAUGAGAUGUCUGCUUUACAUAAGAGUGGUACUUGGGAGUUUGUCUCCCUUCCUGCAAGUAAAUCUAUUGUUGGUUGUCAUUGGGUUUAUGCAGUCAAAAUUGGCCAGAUGGUCAGGUUGAUCGACUUAAGGCUCGCCUUGUCGCCAAAGGGUAUACUCAGAUAUUUGGGCUAGAUUAUAGUGACACUUUCGCUCCUGUGGCUAAAUUAGCAUCUGUUCGUCUUUUUCUAUCUAUGGCUGCCAUUCGUCAUUGGCCUCUUUAUCAGUUGGACAUAAAGAAUGCUUUUCUGCAUGGUGAUCUUGAGGAAGAAGUCUAUAUGGAGCAACCACCUGGUUUUGUUGCUCAGUUGAGUCUAGUAGCCUUGUAUGUCGAUUGCGUAGGUCACACUAUGGUGUGAAACAGCCUCCUCGAGCUUGGUUUGGGUAGUUUAGCACAGUAAUUCAGGAGUUUGGCAUGACUCGUAGUGGAGCUAAUCACUCUAUGUUUUAUCGACAUUCUGCACCAGGGCGAUGUAUCUAUUUGGUUGUUUAUGUUGAUAUUGUUAUCACCGGUAAUGAUCAAGAUGGUAUCACCGAUUUAAAGCAACAUCUUUUUAAGCACUUUUGGACUAAAGACCUUGGCAGAUUGAAGUAUUUUCAAGGUAUUGAGGUUGCUCAGUCUAGAUUAGGCAUUGUUAUCUCUCAAUGCAAGUAUGCCUUAGACAUUCUUGAGGAGACAAGAAUGAUGGGAUGUAGACCUAUUGACACUCCGAUGGAUCCGAAUGUUAAACUUUUUUCGAGAUAGGGGGAGCAACUUAGUAAUCCUGAAAGGUAUAGACGACUUGUUGGAAAGUUGAAUUAUCUCACAAUGACUAGACUAGAUUUCUCUUAUCCCGUGAGUGUUGUAAGUCAGUUUAUGAUUUCCCCUUGUGAUAGUCAUUGGGAAGCAGUUGUUCGUAUUCUUCGAUAUAUAAAGUCAGCCCCCGACAAAGGAUACUCUUUGAGGAUCAAGGUCAUGAGCAUAUCAUUGGAUAUACAGACGCUAAUUGGGCAGGAUCACCCUCUGACAGACGUUUGACAUCCGGAUAUUGUGUUUUAGUUGGAGGUAAUUUGGUGUCGUGGAAAAGUAAGAAACAAAAUGUUGUUGCUCGAUCUAGUGCAGAAUCAGAAUAUCAAGCAAUGGCGACAACAACUUGUGAGUUAGUUUGGCUCAAACAGUUACUGGGAGAAUUAAAAUUUGGCAAAAUUGAUCAGAUGAAACUUGUGUGUGAUAAUCAAGCGACUCUUCAUAUCGCAUCAAAUCCAGUGUUUCAUGAAAGGACUAAGCACAUUGAGAUUGACUGUCACUUUGUUCGAGAAAAGAUACUCUCAAGAGAUAUUGUUACAAAAUUUGUGAAGUCAAAUGAUCAACUUGCAGAUAUGUUCACUAAGUCUCUCACAUGUCCUUGUAUUAAUUACAUCUGUAACAAGCUAGGUGCAUAUAAUUUGUAUGCACCAGCUUGAGGGGGAGUGUUCGAAUAGGAAUAAAUAUUUCUUACUUAGAAUAGGAAUAAGAAUAGGAAUUCUAGUUGGAAAAGUUUCCAAUGUAGUGUCUAUAAAUAGGGUCUUUAUGUAACAAUUUAGAUGCACAAUUCAAUAAUAUUUUUUCCAUUAUUUCUCUCAAAUACAAUUUUAAAAGCUUAUCAAGAGAGCUGUGUGCUCAAGGCUCCAAGAUACUGGACUUUAGAUGCUUACCGUGCAUCAAAUCAAGGCUCUUCAGCACUUUUAUCUAUUAAAAGGAAAUGAUUCUUUGCGAUAUUAUUAAUCUCAGCGUUCGCAUAAGCAUGGGAAACACUAGGGUGGGAUUGGUGGGUUAAAAAUCUUAGGAGGAUACUGAGCAUGUCCUCAUGAGUGAUAGCAUAUUCAUGCACUCACAGUGUGUGUUUGUGUUAUAAGAUAUCUAUUUACACAAAAAUAUACGUGCAGGGUGUGUUUUAGCAUACAACAGAUGCAUGUCUUGUUAACCCCUGGCUAGAACUUUCCACGGCUUGAUGUCACGUCCUUAAUCUUCUACUAAGCACACCUGCGGCACUUGACAACUUGCUCACGAUCUUGCACCAUUUGCUCACGAUCUUGUAUUGCCAAGUCAACCCAAGACACUAGGAAUCACUAAGAGAAUGGUAGAGAAAACACAAGAGAUUGCUAGGAAGUAUUGUGUUGUAGAUAACUUUGAUUUUUGCUUGAUCAUUUUACAAAUGAAUACCUGAUCACUCUCAAAACUCGUCCUUACAAGGAUAAGUGGCUGUUGCGAAUAUAAUCCGGCUUUCUUUGUGACUAGAGUCGAUUCCACAGAGAACUAUCAAAGCUUUCUUCUGUAUCACUAAGAAAUUUUAAUAAUCAAUUUCUAAAGGUUUUUUCUUUUAUUUCUUUUUGUUAUGACUUAAAUACGAACUAAAAUAAGUAGAAAUAAUCAAACAAAUAAGCAAUGUAAGUAAACUCAUAAUAUGCCGACUAUAAUCUUGUCGAGUUAUUCUCUGUCGACCAUGAACUUUUAGUCAGUACAAUUGUUUAUCAACAUAUAAUAGUGAUUUCAUAUCGCUAUACUCUCGAAUGAGCUCUAGCUAACUGAUUACUCUGUUCACAUUGAUUGCACCAAAGUUUUGUUAUCUCUAACUUCCAUUUUUAAAUCCCGGCCAUUAAUCUCUAAAUGCCUUGAAGUGGUGUUGUUCAACUUAAAACCCAAUCUCACCGUCUCUCUCAAGAACAGUAAAAUACCACGACACUGUUAAUUGAGGGCCUUCAAUAAAAUAUAGUUGAACAAAUAAAUAUAAAGUAAAACUACUUGAUCAUAGUAGAACAUAAUCGCUAGUUCAUCCACAACGAGUUCCAUAAGUCAUCCUAGAAAAUAAUCUAGCUACUCAUAAUGGAGUUUAAGAACAUAGAUUUGCAUAACGAACAAAUAAAAGAAUAGAAAAAAAUGAUACUCUAUGUUGAAUCCCUAGUUAUGGACUCUUCUCCUUGUUCUUGCCUCUCAAAAACUGUGUAACCCUUUAAAUAUUUAGUGAAUAUGCUAUUUAUACUGCACAUCUUUAAUCUCUUGAAGAAAAUAACCUUCAGCCAAAAUAAUUUGACCCCGUCACAUUUUUGGCUGUACGCUCUGCGAGCCAGAUAUGUGGCCGCUUUGUGUACGGCCAAUUGCUAUGUUCCUCAAUUAUUUCUUCAUUUUUCUUAGUCCUUUAGCUCAAUGACUCUUUGAUGCGAUCUUGAUAAUUCUUGUGGGCUUCUACUCACUCAGUCUUUGGAGUUCCGUAACAAGUCUGUAUUUGCUCCAAACAUGCCUACCAGAUUUGACAAACUACACACAUAAUAAGCACAUAACAAUAGUAAUAAUGAUCAAGUGAUGACAAAAGAAAACAUAUGAGGCCUUUACAACUACUAAAUGCCUCUUUAUACUACUCACUUAGGGGCUAAUAUGCAAAUAAUAACUUACACAAGUCCCUACAUAUUUACAAAUAAACCCUUUUUCUAAAGUUCUCUACAUGUCUAGAAUAUUUUAAAGCCUUUCUAUCUAGACCAGACGUAUACCAUAGGCGUAACAUGUAAUAUAGGACCCCGAGAAGCCCUACACAAGCCACUUAACAUACACCAUACAAAAUAAUAGAAUUAAAGAACUCAAAAGACUUCUUAUAUCAUAAAGAGUUUGACAAAGCCGGAAGUCUAACAUAAGUCUCAAAGUCAUCUAAUACAUCAUAAGGAAAGUGAUUAGGAUGUAACCCAUGCAUUAGAUACAAGUCUGAAAUGAUAAUGACAUAAAGCAAUAAAAGUGUCUCGGUGCCUCAAAACAUGAAGACUCACCAAUCUUCAAUCGAAGCUCUUAAGGGAUGUCUAGCCACAAGUGCGUAGAUAGGAACAUCAGACCUUACAUAGUGAAAUAAUGUAAGCACAAGUAUGUAUUAAACAUGGAAUGUACUAAGUAUGAUAACAAUGCAUAAGAGUUUUGAAAUCAUGCUAAAAAUGACUUUACAUGACAUGCAAUGACCAAGCUAAAUCAUGAAAAAUCAUGUUAGAAUAUAUGUAAUAAUCAUGGUCAAUGCAAGCUAAGCAUCUUUAAACACAUUUGAAAUAUUUUAGAAAGUAACCUCAAUUCGUUAUUGUGGGAAGUUUGCCAUUACCCGACGUAGACCAUGUGAGCUAUAACAUGGAAUUCAGUGUCUAUCCCACACCAAAAAGAGAUGUCCUUACUUGCCAAGGUAAGAAUCAUAAACUUGAGCUAAACUGGAUCCACUGGCUAAUGUCUAUCUAAGAUAAACAUAUGGUGACACAUUGUUAUGGGACAUGGGUAAUUACCAAUAGGCCACUUGGUGCUAGGCAUAAAUCCCACAAAGUAGUCAUUAUUCAUUUCAUCUAUUAUCCAUGGAAAGACAAUCAAGUAGUUGAUCCAUGCUAGAGUCCAUUUAGAGUCUCCUAAAUCAAGAUUCAACUUUAGUUGAGAAAAUCUUUCAACCCUUUGAAACCUUCUUGUGAGAAUAACCUUUCACAAGAACAAUUUAUCUCAAAGCAAUUCAAAUCAUUCAUAUCAAUUCCAUAGAAAGAACAUGCCUAUCUUCAUAAAUUCAUAAUUCAUAGUUCAUAAACUUAAUCACAUGCUCAUAGUCUAAAGUUCAUGGGGCAUGCAUGAGUUCAUAUGAAUUAAACUCUAUGACCCUCUUUAGAUCAUUAUGUAAUAUUCCAGUGGUUGCCGGAAGGAAUGACGUCAUUGCUCCUGUAAUUACCUCAAUUCAUACAUAAAUAGAUAGAAAAUAGUCAAUUUGUUCAAGAUUGAAACUUCCCAUGAACAUUGACUAAAACCCUAACUUUGAUUGGGUAAUCCAGCUUUGCUAAAUUGGAGAAUUUAAGAACCCUAUGAAGGAAAGGACUCCAUUGGUGAAUACUAUCAAACGUUGAUUCUUUAAGCCCAAGAAAAAUGGUGAAUUUGGAGACUUGAAUGAACUCUAGCUCUUCUUUCUUCCUUAGACUUGAGAAAAUUUAAGAGGAUGAAUUCAGUCAAGUUUUGGGAAUUUAGGAGAAUGAGUUCAAAUGGGUAAAUUAGGGGCUUAAAAUGUUUAUAUAGGGCCUAGGGUAGAAGGUAAAAUGACAAUAGUAUUGGGUUAAAACAAUUAGG